AGCGUUUGACCGAAGGUUAAGCUGAACGCUGGCGGCAGGCCUAACACAUGCAAGUCGAGCGGCAGCGGGAAAGUAGCUUGCUACUUUUGCCGGCGAGCGGCAUUCUGAUGAGUAAUUACUAGCGAUCUGCCCCAUGGAGUCGAGUUGCUACUGGAAACGGUAGCUAAUACCGCAUACGCCCUACGGGGGAAAGCGAGGUCGCUUCGGGCCGUAUAUGAUUGUAUGAACCCAGGUAGCCCUAGCUAGUUGGUGAGGUAAUGGCUCACCAAGGCGACGAUCCCUAGCUGAUCACUGGCAGUGAUCAGUGACACUGCGACCGAACCGCUGGCAAAAAGGAUACGGGAGGCAGCAGUGGGGAAUAUUGCACAAUGGGGGAAACCCUGAUGCAGCCAUGCCGCGUGUGUGAAGAAGGCCUUCGGGUUGUAAAGCACUCUCUGCUAAGUUCUCUGGAUGGUAGCUAAUAGGUGCCAGUCUUCGCGUUACUCGCAGAAGAAGCACCGGCUAACUCCGUGCCAGCAGCCGCGGUAAUUCAGAGGGUGCAAGCGUUAACCGGAAUUGCUGGCCGUACUCCCCAGGCAGGCGGUUGGAUAAGUUAGAUGUGAAAGCCCCGGGCUCAACCUGGGAAUUGCCUCCAAGUCUGUCCCGCUAGAGUCGUGUACCAGGGUAUCUAAUCCCAGGUGUAGCGGUGAAAUGCGUAGAGAUCUGGAGGAAUACCGGUGGCGAAGGGGCCGCCUUCGCCACCGACUGACCUCCAGAUGCGAAAGCAUUUGGAGCAAACAGGAUUAGAUACCCUGGUAGUCCACGCCGUAAACGAUGUCGAUUUGGAUGCAGUUCCCUUGAGCCGGGGCUUCCGGAGCUAACGCGUCAAAUCGACCGCCUGGGGAGUACGGCCGCAAGGUUAAAACUCAAAUGUAUUACCGCGGGCCCGCGCACGGAGUGGAGCAUGUGGUUCUUCUCGAUGCAACGCGAAGAACCUUACCUGGCCUUGACAUGUCUGGAAUCCUGUAGAGAUACGGGAGUACCCGAAGGAAUCAGUACAUACACGCGGCAUGGCUGUCGUCAGCUCGUGUCGUGAGAUGUUGGGUUAAGUCCCGCAACGAGCGCAACUGCUGCCCUUUGUUGGCAGUCUGGACCGGUGGGAACUCCAGUGUGGCUGCCGGUGAUAAACCGGAGGAAGGUGGGGAUGACGUCAAGUCAUCACCCCACCUACAGCCAGGGCUACACACGCACUCCGAUGGCACGUACAGAGGGCUGCAAGCUAGCGAUAGUGAGCGAAUCCCAAAAAGCGCGUCGUAGUCCGGAUCGGAGGUAGUUAUCCCCCUCCAUGAAGUCGUAAUUCCCAGACAUUACAAAUCAGAAUGUUGCGGUGAAUACGUUCCCGGGCCUUGUACACACCGCCCGUCACACCACA
rnacentral:rRNA from 1 species